CUCUCUCAAAGUUUAUGUUAUAGCCAAAAUUUAUGGACGCUUCGAAGCUUUCUUUUGAGGAAGCUAACCUUCUCAGGGAAAGCUUAAUUCAAGGCUCUGUGCUUCACCGUAAAACUGAGCUAAUGGCUCUUAUAGAAGCAGCAAAAGAUGGGCCGGUUAAAACUCAACUCCUUAUAGAGCUUAAAAAGCUUAUGUUACUCCGUUAUCAAAGUCAAUUAAGGAGCGAUAUACUUCAUGAUUAUCGAAAGAGAACAGUUUUAUUCUCUUGUUUAAAUCCUUACGAAUAUCGUGUGAUUGAUAGAAACUUUUCUUUUAGUUUUCAACGUACAAAGUUACUGGAGGAGGCAAACAGAAGAUAUUUGCUCCAAAAAGAAAGAGCAAAAAAAACGGAUUACUUUUUAAAACUAUUUAAUCACUAUAGCAAG